rnacentral:rRNA from 1 species
GACGAACGCUGGCGGCGUGCUUCACACAUGCAAGUCGAACGGAGUGGUGAACGGGUGAGUAACACGUGGGUGACCUCCCCUGCACUUCGGGAUAAGCCUGGGAAACUGGGUCUAAUACCGGAGAGUGUGGGAGGGGCCCGCGGCCUAUCAGCUUGUAGGUGGGGUAAUGGCCUACCAAGGCGGCGCCGGGUAGCCGGCCGGAGAGGGUGGACGGCCAAAAUGGGACUGAGACACGGCCCAGACUGCUACGGGAGGCAGCAGGCGAGGAUGUUGCGCAAGAGGCGGAGGCCUGAUGGAGAGACGCCGCGUGGGUGAUGACGGCGUUCGGGUUGUAAACGCCUUUAACCAUCGACGCGGUAGAUGGAGAAGAAGCACCGGCUAACUACGUGCCAGCAGCCGCGGUAAUUC